rnacentral:misc_RNA from 1 species
GAAGGAUCAUUAAAGAGUAAGGGUGCUCAGCGCCCGACCUCCAACCCUUUGUUGUUAAAACUACCUUGUUGCUUUGGCGGGACCGCUCGGUUCCGAGCCGCUGGGGAUUCGUCCCAGGCGAGUGCCCGCCAGAGUUAAACCAAACUCUUGUUAUUAAACCGGUCGUCUGAGUUAAAAUUUUGAAUAAAUCAAAACUUUCAACAACGGAUCUCUUGGUUCUCGCAUCGAUGAAGAACGCAGCGAAAUGCGAUAAGUAAUGUGAAUUGCAGAAUUCAGUGAAUCAUCGAAUCUUUGAACGCACAUUGCGCCCCUUGGUAUUCCGAGGGGCAUGCCUGUUCGAGCGUCAUUACACCACUCAAGCUAUGCUUGGUAUUGGGUGCCGUCCUUAGUUGGGCGCGCCUUAAAGACCUCGGCGAGGCCACUCCGGCUUUAGGCGUAGUAGAAUUUAUUCGAACGUCUGUCAAAGGAGAGGAACUCUGCCGAUUGAAACCUUUAUUUUUCUAGGUUGACCUCGGAUCAGGUAGGGAUACCCGCUGAACUUAAA